rnacentral:rRNA from 1 species
UACGGAGGGUGCAAGCGUUAUCCGGAUUCACUGGGCUUAAAGGGUGCGUAGGUGGCUAUAUAAGUCAGUGGUGAAAGCCCGCGGCUCAACCGUGGAAUUGCCAUUGAAACUGCAUAGCUUGAGUACAAUUGAAGUGGGCGGAAUACAUCAUGUAGCGGUGAAAUGCGUAGAUAUUGGGAGGAACACCAGUGGCGAAGGCGGCUCACUGGACUGGUACUGACGCUGAUGCGCGAAAGCGUGGGGAGCAAACAGG